rnacentral:tRNA from 1 species
GGCCUUAAAGUGUAGCGGUUAGCACUCUGUACUCUGAACCUAGAGACCCGGGUUCAAGUCUAGGUAAGGCCU